AGCAGUCGCCGCGGGAAUACGAAGGGGGCUAGCGUUGCUCGGAAUUACUGGGCGUAAAGGGCGCGUAGGCGGAUGUUUAAGUCAGAGGUGAAAGCCCAGGGCUCAACCUUGGAACUGCCUUUGAUACUGGACAUCUUGAGUGUGGGAGAGGUGAGUGGAACUCCGAGUGUAGAGGUGAAAUUCGUAGAUAUUCGGAAGAACACCAGUGGCGAAGGCGACUCACUGGCCCAUUACUGACGCUGAGGCGCGAAAGCGUGGGGAGCAAACAGGAUUAGAUACCCGGGUAGUCCCUGUCUCUUAUAC
rnacentral:rRNA from 1 species